rnacentral:rRNA from 1 species
UACGUAGGUGGCGAGCGUUGUCCGGAAUUAUUGGGUGUAAAGAGCAUGUAGGCGGCUUAAUAAGUCGAGCGUGAAAAUGCGGGGCUCAACCCCGUAUGGCGCUGGAAACUGUUAGGCUUGAGUGCAGGAGAGGAAAGGGGAAUUCCCAGUGUAGCGGUGAAAUGCGUAGAUAUUGGGAGGAACACCAGUGGCGAAGGCGCCUUUCUGGACUGUGUCUGACGCUGAGAUGCGAAAGCCAGGGUAGCGAACGGG